UACAGAGGUCUCAAGCGUUGUUCGGAUUCAUUGGGCGUAAAGGGUGCGUAGGUGGCGCCGUAAGUCGGGUGUGAAAUUUCGGAGCUUAACUCCGGAAACUGCAUUCGAUAACUGCGGUGCUUGAGGACUGGAGAGGAGACUGGAAUUUACGGUGUAGCAGUGAAAUGCGUAGAGAUCGAUAAGGAAGACCAGUGGCGAAGGCGGGUCGUCCUGGACAGUUCCGUGACACUGAGGCACGA
rnacentral:rRNA from 1 species